AUUGAACGCUGGCGGCAUGCCUUACACAUGCAAGUCGAACGGUAGCGGGCCUUCGGGUGCCGACGAGUGGCGAACGGGUGAGUAAUGUAUCGGAACGUACCUUUCAGUGGGGGAUAACGUAGCGAAAGUUACGCUAAUACCGCAUAUUCUGUGAGCAGGAAAGCAGGGGAUCGCAAGACCUUGCGCUGAUUGAGCGGCCGAUAUCAGAUUAGCUAGUUGGUGAGGUAAAAGCUCAUCAAGGCGACGAUCUGUAGCGGGUCUGAGAGGAUGAUCCGCCACACUGGAACUGAGACACGGUCCAGACUCCUACGGGAGGCAGCAGUGGGGAAUUUUGGACAAUGGGGGAAACCCUGAUCCAGCCAUGCCGCGUGAGUGAAGAAGGCCUUCGGGUUGUAAAGCUCUUUCGGCCGGGAAGAAAUCGUAUCAGCUAAUACCUGGUGCGGAUGACGGUACCGGCAUAAGAAGCACCGGCUAACUACGUGCCAGCCGCCGCGGUAAUAC
rnacentral:rRNA from 1 species